rnacentral:rRNA from 1 species
AUUGAACGCUGGCGGCAGGCUUAACACAUGCAAGUCGAACGAGUGGCGGACGGGUGAGUAAUGCUUGGGAAUCUCGCUUAUGGAGGGGGAUCACUACGGGAAACUGUAGCUAAUACCGCGUACCAUAGGAUGAGCCCAAGUGGGAUUAGGUAGUUGGUGAGGUAAAGGCUCACCAAGCCGACGAUCUCUAGCUGGUCUGAGAGGAUGACCAGCCACACUGGGAGUGAGACACGGCCCAGACUCCAACGGGAGGCAGCAGUGGGGAAUAUUGCGCAAUGGGGGCAACCUGACGCAGCCAGGCCGCGUGAAUGAAGAGGGCCUUCGGGUUGUAAAGUACUUUCGGUAGCGAGGCGUUAACCACAGAAGAAGCACCGGCUAACUCCGUGCCAGCAGCCGGGGUAAUUG